rnacentral:lncRNA from 1 species
CGGAGCUCGUAUCCGUCAUUUGCUGUGGGUGCAGAUGCUUUGGUAUGGAGAGUCUUCAAAUAUGAGAUAAUCUCUACAAGGCAAGGGUCUGCUUGGAAGGAGGCUGCGGUGCCACCAUAUCUUCGGCAAGGUGAUUCCCUUGCGCCCCUGUUUUUUGCUUGCACAGCCCUUGCCAUUCGGCAAAGGUGGCCUUCGUGAAGAGUGUGAACUCG